rnacentral:rRNA from 1 species
GUACGUUCGCAAGAAUGAAACUCAAAGGUAUUGACGGGGUCCCGCACAAGCGGUGGAGCAUGUGGUUUAAUUCGAUGAUACGCGAGGAACCUUACCAAGGCUUAAAUGUAGAUUGCCCGAUUUGGAAACAGAUUUUUCGCAAGACAAUUUACAAGGUGCUGCAUGGUUGUCGUCAGCUCGUGCCGUGAGGUGUCAGUUUAAGUCCUAUAACGAGCGCAACCCCUGUUGUUAGUUGCCAGCGAGUAGUGUCGGGAACUCUAACAAGACUGCCAGUGUAAACUGUGAGGAAGGUGGGGAUGACGUCAAAUCAUCACGGCCCUUACGCCUUGGGCUACACACGUGCUACAAUGGACGGUACAGAGAGCAGCCACUACGUGAGUAGGAGCGAAUCUACAAAACCGUUCUCAGUUCGGAUCGGAGUCUGCAACUCGACUCCGUGAAGCGGGAAUCGCUAGUAAUCGGAUAUCAGCCAUGAUCCGGUGAAUACGUUCCCGGGCAUUGUACACACCGCCCGUCAAG